rnacentral:rRNA from 1 species
GAUGAACGCUGGCGGCGUGCCUAAUACAUGCAAGUCGAGCGAACAGAUGAGGAGCUUGCUCCCCUGACGUUAUAGCCGGUCGGAAGAUUACCAUGUGUAUAACCUACCUAUAAGACUGGGAUAACUUCGGGAAAUCGGAGCUAAUACCGGAUAAUAUAUCGAACCGCAUGGUUCCAUAGUUAAAGUCGGUUUUUCUUACACUAAUAGAUGACUCCGCGCCGCAUUCGCUAGUUGUCUAGGUAAAGGCUUACCAAGGCAACGAUGCGUAGACGACCUGAGAGGGAGGACGGCCAGACUGGAACUGAGACACGGUCCAGACUCCUACGGUGGGCAGCAGUAGGGAAUCUUCCGCGAGGGGCGAAAGCCGGACGGAGCAACACCGGGUGAGUGAUGAAGGUCUUCGGAUCGGAAAACUCUGUAAUUAGGAGAGUACAAAUGUUUAAUUAACUAUGCACGUCUUGACAGUACCGGAACAGAAAGCCACGGCUAACUACGUG